UUUCCUUUAUGUAAUUCGGACGACUUUUGAAAGAAUUUGGUAUGAUUAUCAUUUCGAAUUUCAAGUAUGGUCAUUUACUUAUAUUUGAGUCUAUGAUAAUGAUUUUAUGCAUAUGGUUACUCAUGACUCUGCUCGUGCGUUCUGUUAUAUCUUUCGCCGGUUCCCGGGCCGGUUCUGUUAUCGUGCGUAUUUUGAUAUACUCCGGAGUUAUGCUGUGUUAUGGUUCUCCGAGCUACUCGCUAAUGAGGGUCGGGUUCCACCUAUAUUUGGUGUUAUGCUGUGUAUGGCGUUAUGUUGUGAUGUGAUAUGUGACGGGGAUACGGAGAUUUGAAACUUUCUGGUGUUAUGCUGUGUUAUGGCGCCAUCGUCGGGUGGGCGACCAUAUUCUUCUGUACCCUAUGCAUUACUUACAUAUUUUUGAAAGUACAGACGCACAGUUUGGUGAUCUACCCAUUUAGGACACCCUCUUCUGCUGUUUGGAGUGCUCUUCUCAUUUCAGAGCACACAUUUUGGUAUAUAUUCGUUCGCUAUGUAUACAUGUAUUUGUUCAGGGGCACGGCGGGGCCCUAUCCCGCCAUAUGAUUCAGUUUGUCUGUUUAGAGGUCUGUAGACGUAUUUGUGGGUGUGUGUGCCUACUUCUGUACGGAUGUGUUUGCAUGACUCUAUUUGUUAUGGCAGCCUCGUCGGCGUGCAUUUUG